GGUCGGCUCUGAGACCCGACGAGCAAAGCGGUAAGAUCGGAGGUGAUGUCUGCGUGGCUUUUCAACGACGGUGACAACUGAGGUACCCCAAGUGGCUGAAGUUACACCGUGGUCGCUUCAUUUAUGCUGGACAGGUCACCUGCAGAUUUGGAGCCGCUGUACUUCUCACCAGUAUACUCUGAUUGGACCAUGCUGGCUGGCCUGGAUUACAACCUCUGUGUCCACAGUCCAGCCAGGAGAAAAGCUGAUGACACAGUUCAGUACAGCAAGGUGUACAACAAAAAGUCCGGAAAGUGGAGCUUGUAGUCAUUGAAGGUGGAGAAGAACUAGUUACAUCGCAGACCUCCACAGUGCCAUCCUCCUCCUCCUCCGGUUGUCUACUACUGAGGAGAUGCCUAGAAGCAGAACCAGGAGACCCGAUGAUCCCCGUCAACAUGGAGUUCAGUCAGGUGUCUCUGCCCCAACUGUGUUGCUAGAUACAGCAAAACGUACAACAAAAAGUAAUAUGUUUGGUUUUGAAAUGUGAUAUUCAUGGCAGAGAGGUGAUUGUGAAAUAUAUAAUCAUCUCCACAGCAGCGGUACGAUGCUACGAGUAAAGUCUGAACUAUCUUCAUGAUCAGUCAAGACACCUCUGGACACACCUUGUCUCUUCCUGUAUAUACAUAUUUUUAAUGAUGUUUAAAAAGUAUCUAUUUGUGAUAUAGGUUGUAGUUUUGUAUAGUAUAUAAUAACAAUAAACAAGUGUUAUACCACAUUUGGAUGUCAUUAUUGGAGACAUCCAUUCUCUGCUUUGCCUCAACUCCGGUCCUGUCCCGGGCUGCAUCCGAAAAGUAAAAAUAAAUCUCCUUUCCUAACCACCUUUCCUUGACUUCGAUGGAUAACGUCAUUAGGUCAAGGAAAGAUAUGAAGGAGAAUCCGUAAGGACUUCGGAAAAGAGGACACCAGGUUUAAGAAAAUCCGACUGCUCUUUUCUAGGUGACGUAAUUAUUCGACCGCGGAUUUUACUGACGUGACCUGCCGUGAUGAAACUACAAUGUUCUGAAGACGGACUACAAAAAGCGCAUCUUUGACAGUGCGCCCCAUGUUGUUGCAAUGCAGGGCAUCUAAAGGUGGACAACACGGUGGAAAAUAUUACUUAAUAACCUAGAUAGCAAAAACGCAGAUACGGUAGCCUACCAGUCACUAAAUAAUGGACAGGGUCGCCACAUUGAGAAUGCUUGCUCACACUCACCCUCCUGCCCACCCAUAGGUGUAUUUAUCAACA